GAUGUAGGGGGCCAGCGUUGCUCGGAAUUACUGGGCGUAAAGGGUUCGUAGGCGGUGCGGCAAGUCGGGAGUGAAAUCUCUGGGCUUAACUCAGGGGCUGCUUCCGAAACUGCCGUGCUUGAGUGCGGGAGAGGCGAGUGGAAUUGCAGGUGUAGCGGUGAAAUGCGUAGAUAUCUGCAGGAACACCCGUGGCGAAGGCGGCUCGCUGGACUGGUAUUGACGCUGAUGUGCGAAAGCGUGGGGAGCAAACAGG
rnacentral:rRNA from 1 species